UUUAAGAAAAUAUGGAAUGAAGGAAUUUGAUAUCUCGUAUUCAGGUGAGUAAAAGAAUCCGAGGACUUUAGCCCGGAGGUACUUUUAGUCAUCGUGAUACGAGAUAUCAAAUUACUGCACGUGUGUUGUACGGCACUUUACUUUACGAGCGAGGGAAAGACUCUUCCCUAGUGAGAGAAAGGACACAUUCCCUCCCUAUUAGAUUUAAAA